AUUGAACGCUGGCGGCAUGCUUUACACAUGCAAGUCGAACGGUAACAGGGAGCUUGCUCCGCUGACGAGUGGCGAACGGGUGAGUAAUGCGUCGGAACGUGCCGAGUAGUGGGGGAUAACGCAUCGAAAGGUGUGCUAAUACCGCAUACGAACUGAGGUUGAAAGUGGGGGACCUUCGGGCCUCACGCUAUUCGAGCGGCCGACGUCUGAUUAGCUAGUUGGUGAGGUAAAGGCUCACCAAGGCGACGAUCAGUAGCGGGUCUGAGAGGAUGAUCCGCCACACGGGGACUGAGACACGGCCCAGACUCCUACGGGAGGCAGCAGUGGGGAAUUUUGGACAAUGGGCGCAAGCCUGAUCCAGCCAUGCCGCGUGUCUGAAGAAGGCCUUCGGGUUGUAAAGCACUUUAAGUUGGGAGGAAGGGUUGUAAGCUAAUAUCUUGCAGCUUUGACGUUACCAACAGAAUAAGCACCGGCUAACUCUGUGCCAGCCGCCGCGGUAAUAC
rnacentral:rRNA from 1 species